GAUGAACGCUGGCGGCGUGCCUAAUACAUGCAAGUCGAGCGAACAGACGAGGAGCUUGCUCCUCUGACGUUAGCGGCGGACGGGUGAGUAACACGUGGAUAACCUACCUAUAAGACUGGGAUAACUUCGGGAAACCGGAGCUAAUACCGGAUAAUAUAUUGAACCGCAUGGUUCAAUAGUGAAAGACGGUUUUGCUGUCACUUAUAGAUGGAUCAGCGCCGCAUUAGCUAGGUGGUAAGGUAGCGGCUUACCAAGGCGACGAUGCUUAGCCGACCCGAGAGGGUGAUCGGCCACACGGGAACUGAGGCACGGUCCAGACUCCUACGGGAGGAAGCAGUAGGGAAUCUUCCGCAAUGGGCGAAAGCCUGACGUAGCAACGCCGCGUGAGUCAUGAAGGUCUUCGGAUCGUAAAACUCUGUUAUUAGGGAAGAACAAAUGUGUAAGUACCUAUGCACGUCUUGACGGUACCUAAUCAGAAAGCCACGGCUAACUACGUG
rnacentral:rRNA from 1 species